rnacentral:rRNA from 1 species
UACGGAGGAUGCGAGCGUUAUCCGGAUUUAUUGGGUUUAAAGGGUGCGUAGGCGGACGCUUAAGUCAGCGGUAAAAUUGCGGGGCUCAACCUCGUCGAGCCGUUGAAACUGGGUGCCUUGAGUGGGCGAGAAGUACGCAGAAUGCGUGGUGUAGCGGUGAAAUGCAUAGAUAUCACGCAGAACUCCGAUUGCGAAGGCAGCGUACCGGCGCCCAACUGACGCUGAAGCACGAAGGCGUGGGUAUCGAACAGG